CGAUGAUCGCUUGAGCAAUCAAGAGGAAAGUCCGGGCUCCUCUGGAAAAUAAAACCAGGUAACUCCUGGCAGACGUAAGUCUAGGGAAAGUGCAACAGAAAAUACACCGCCCGAUAGGGUAAGGGUGAAAUGGUAAGGUAAAAGCUUACCGCAUGACUGGUAACAGUUGUGGCAAGGCAAACCCUUUUAGGAGUAAGGCCAAAUAGGAAUAACAAUUAAUUUCCAGUUAAGUUAUUCGGGUAGGCUGCUUGAAACAAAUGGAGACAUUUGUUCUAGAUUAAUGAUCAUCAAAUUUAGCAAUAAAUUUACAGAACCCGGCUUAUGCACCAUCU
rnacentral:RNase_P_RNA from 1 species